rnacentral:rRNA from 1 species
CUAGCUACAGGCUUAACACAUGCAAGUCGAGGGGCAGCAUGGUCUUAGCUUGCUAAGGCCGAUGGCGACCGGCGCACGGGUGAGUAACACGUAUCCAACCUGCCGUCUACUCUUGGACAGCCUUCUGAAAGGAAGAUUAAUACAAGAUGGCAUCAUGAGUCCGCAGGUUCACAUGAUUAAAGGUAUUCCGGUAGACGAUGGGGAUGCGUUCCAUUAGAUAGUAGGCGGGGUAACGGCCCACCUAGUCUUCGAUGGAUAGGGGUUCUGAGAGGAAGGUCCCCCACAUUGGAACUGAGACACGGUCCAAACUCCUACGGGAGGCAGCAGUGAGGAAUAUUGGUCAAUGGGCGAGAGCCUGAACCAGCCAAGUAGCGUGAAGGAUGACUGCCCUAUGGGUUGUAAACUUCUUUUAUAAAGGAAUAAAGUCGGGUAUGGAUACCCGUUUGCAUGUACUUUAUGAAUAAGGAUCGGCUAACUCCGUGCCAGCAGCCGCGGUAAUACGGAGGAUCCGAGCGUUAUCCGGAUUUAUUGGGUUUAAAGGGAGCGUAGAUGGAUGUUUAAGUCAGUUGUGAAAGUUUGCGGCUNCACCGUAAAAUUGCAGUUGAUACUGGAUAUCUUGAGUGCAGUUGAGGCAGGCGGAAUUCGUGGUGUAGCGGUGAAAUGCUUAGAUAUCACGAAGAACUCCGAUUGCGAAGGCAGCCUGCUAAGCUGCAACUGACAUUGAGGCUCGAAAGUGUGGGUAUCAAACAGGAUUAGAUACCCUGGUAGUCCACACGGUAAACGAUGAAUACUCGCUGUUUGCGAUAUACUGCAAGCGGCCAAGCGAAAGCGUUAAGUAUUCCACCUGGGGAGUACGCCGGCAACGGUGAAACUCAAAGGAAUUGACGGGGGCCCGCACAAGCGGAGGAACAUGUGGUUUAAUUCGAUGAUACGCGAGGAACCUUACCCGGGCUUAAAUUGCAGAUGAAUUACGGUGAAAGCCGUAAGCCGCAAGGCAUCUGUGAAGGUGCUGCAUGGUUGUCGUCAGCUCGUGCCGUGAGGUGUCGGCUUAAGUGCCAUAACGAGCGCAACCCUUGUUGUCAGUUACUAACAGGUUCCGCUGAGGACUCUGACAAGACUGCCAUCGUAAGAUGUGAGGAAGGUGGGGAUGACGUCAAAUCAGCACGGCCCUUACGUCCGGGGCUACACACGUGUUACAAUGGGGGGUACAGAGGGCCGCUACCACGCGAGUGGAUGCCAAUCCCCAAAACCUCUCUCAGUUCGGACUGGAGUCUGCAACCCGACUCCACGAAGCUGGAUUCGCUAGUAAUCGCGCAUCAGCCACGGCGCGGUGAAUACGUUCCCGGGCCUUGUACACACCGCCCGUCAAGCCAUGGGAGCCGGGGGUACCUGAAGUGCGUAACCGCGAGGAGCGCCCUAGGGUAAAACUGGUGACUGGGG